AAAAAAAAAGUAUAUAUAUAUAUAGCAGAUAAAGGGGAUAGAAUGCAGGGUGGAAGUAGAGGGUUGCAGUUUGAAUAUCCUGGUGAGGGGAGACUUCCCCAAGAAGGGGACAUCGAAGCAAAGACCUGAAGGCAGUGAGGAGGGUGGCCAUAAGGAUAUGUGGGAAAGAGCUUUCCAGCAGAGAAUAGUCCGGAGGCAGGAGGAGGUCCUGAAGCUGAGGGAAAGCGCAACAGAAAUGAGGUUAGGGAGUUCUCCAGACACCAGGUUGUGUGGGUCCUUGCCAUUCAUCUCUAGGACCAGUGCGGCCCUCAGACAAGGGGCCUCUCCUCUGGGUCCCAUGCUUUAGAGGGCGCUGCUCUGGCUUUCACCUGCCAAUAUCCCACCCCAAAAGCAAAGAGUUCAGGGGACCAAGGGGCAUGCUAACCCUAAAUGUAUGCUCUCUUUCUGGACAUAAUCCCAGAAUCCCUGCCCGAGGCACCCAAACCCACGCACAUGCUCAUUUCAUGUGAGUCAACAUGUUCCCUCCUCAAGGAGUAUUUAUAUUUUUGGUUUUGUAAUUGCUGAUGGUGAGUUGAAAGACUGACUUCUGCUGAGGGAAUUUUAAGCAGAGGAAGCUGGUAACUCAAUCUGUUUGGAGUCAAGGAUCACUCUACUCAAUGUAACACAAAGCUAAGAGGUAAUGCAAAGGACAGGAUCGGCAGUGAAGAAAACACGGGAUUGCCAUGUCUUCAGAAAUCGACAUCAGAAGCUCCCAUGAGUGUGUAAGAAAGGACCAUAUUGACAGCCCUGGCGACAGUCUUUUUUCUGGGCUUCUGGCAGACAGCAGGAACAGCUGCUGCUUAAGCAUACCCCAAAUAUUUUACCUCUGGAAAGAUCAUUUCUGGAGGUGAGCAGGCACUUUGAUUUCUCAUUCCCUCUGAAAGGUGUCGGUGGGAAUGGUGGGGGAAUAGCUGGCCAUUUACUCGGGGCUUUGGUUCUGAGGCCAUUGCCACAUUUUUUUUUUUUUUU
rnacentral:lncRNA from 10 species